GUGGCCCCAAGUCAGGCGAGGGCCACCCGCCGAGUUUAA
rnacentral:rRNA from 1 species